AUGGCGUCUAACUGUGCCAGUUAUACGCCAUGCAACAUUGAUGUUUCCGAACUAACAGCGACAGAUUUGGAAUCGUUUCUGCUCUCCAUCAGCUUUGAUCCAAGCAUUGCUGCAAAACUGAAAGGUACGGUAGAGAUUUUUCGCGAUUUUCUCCUGGCCUUUCCGAAAGCGGGACACUUUGAAGAAACUUUUGUUUGGGGGUACGGACCAUUGAUAAAGAAGUGUGCAGGAAGAUCAAACACUCCAAUUCCAGACACAGAUGACGAAUGCCUACAACUUUUAGUUUUGUUACUGCGGCUGAUUCCGUCUCUGAAAAAAAAUACGUGUUGUUAGCCAGAAAUCAAUUAUUGAACGAGUUGUUUACUUCAUAAAGGCCAACGACGACAUUUUGUCAAUCAUUGAAGAGAAGCCGCACCUCAAGGAGUCACCCUUUUUGUGCUGCGUAGGAUCGCUUAAGAAUCCGGUUUGUUUCAACAUUGUUUGUGAAGGAGAAGUCAUCUCAAGCGGAACAAGUUCCAUCACAGCUUUCAAAAACCUUUAUGCGUCGUUCCACAUGUUUCGCAUUAAAUACCCUCAACUUCUCAGCACAUUUUAUUAUUUUUUUGACAGCUACGUAUUUAAUGUCCACUCUGGUAAAGUGCGCCCCUCUGUUGCUGAUUUUUUCACGCAGCUAAAUUCAUAGCAGCCAAAAGUUGUUCUCCUAAUUGGCUCAAUAUUAAGAAAUGACCUUUGUUCGUUUCCCUAUGUCAUGUUUAACAAUUAAAUCUAGCAAUGUUAAUCGUUUUGUCAAACUGUUUCUCGCUGUUUGUACCCGUUUAUCCUACCUUACAUGUUUCCCAAAUCAACCAGGAAAUUUUAGUUGUGAUAUGCCCAAAUACAGAAAGCAAUGUGCUAAUU
rnacentral:sRNA from 1 species